CCUGCCUGUAAGACUGGGAUAACUCCGGGAAACCGGGGCUAAUACCGGAUGCUUGAUUGAACCGCAUGGUUCAAUCAUAAAAGGUGGCUUUCAGCUACCACUUGCAGAUGGACCCGCGGCGCAUUAGCUAGUUGGUGAGGUAACGGCUCACCAAGGCGACGAUGCGUAGCCGACCUGAGAGGGUGAUCGGCCACACUGGGACUGAGACACGGCCCAGACUCCUACGGGAGGCAGCAGUAGGGAAUCUUCCGCAAUGGACGAAAGUCUGACGGAGCAACGCCGCGUGAGUGAUGAAGGUUUUCGGAUCGUAAAACUCUGUUGUUAGGGAAGAACAAGUACCGUUCGAAUAGGGCGGUACCUUGACGGUACCUAACCAGAAAGCCACGGCUAACUACGUGCCAGCAGCCGCGGUAAUACGUAGGUGGCAAGCGUUGUCCGGAAUUAUUGGGCGUAAAGCGCGCGCAGGCGGUUUCUUAAGUCUGAUGUGAAAGCCCCCGGCUCAACCGGGGAGGGUCAUUGGAAACUGGGGAACUUGAGUGCAGAAGAGGAGAGUGGAAUUCCACGUGUAGCGGUGAAAUGCGUAGAGAUGUGGAGGAACACCAGUGGCGAAGGCGACUCUCUGGUCUGUAACUGACGCUGAGGCGCGAAAGCGUGGGGAGCGAACAGGAUUAGAUACCCUGGUAGUCCACGCCGUAAACGAUGAGUGCUAAGUGUUAGAGGGUUUCCGCCCUUUAGUGCUGCAGCAAACGCAUUAAGCACUCCGCCUGGGGAGUACGGUCGCAAGACUGAAACUCAAAGGAAUUGACGGGGGCCCGCACAAGCGGUGGAGCAUGUGGUUUAAUUCGAAGCAACGCGAAGAACCUUACCAGGUCUUGACAUCCUCUGACAACCCUAGAGAUAGGGCUUCCCCUUCGGGGGCAGAGUGACAGGUGGUGCAUGGUUGUCGUCAGCUCGUGUCGUGAGAUGUUGGGUUAAGUCCCGCAACGAGCGCAACCCUUGAUCUUAGUUGCCAGCAUUCAGUUGGGCACUCUAAGGUGACUGCCGGUGACAAACCGGAGGAAGGUGGGGAUGACGUCAAAUCAUCAUGCCCCUUAUGACCUGGGCUACACACGUGCUACAAUGGGCAGAACAAAGGGCAGCGAAGCCGCGAGGCUAAGCCAAUCCCACAAAUCUGUUCUCAGUUCGGAUCGCAGUCUGCAACUCGACUGCGUGAAGCUGGAAUCGCUAGUAAUCGCGG
rnacentral:rRNA from 1 species